GGACUGGUGGUGUAGCGGUUUAUCACCUCGUUCUUAUAGAAGAGUGUCAAAGCUCUCCAUAUGACAUGCGAAGGUCCCGGGUUCAAUCCCCGGUCGGUCCA